GGACUUCCAGUACUCUGUUGAAGAGCAGUGGUGAGAGUUAGCACCCAAGUCUUGUUCCUGAUUAUCAUGGGAAUUCACUGAAUCUUUCCCCAAUCCCAGAAAGCAGUUGCAUUCCUUGGCUCAUGGCUUCUGCCUCCAUCUUCAAGGCCAGCGGUGGCUACAUGCAUUGUCUGAGGAGCCUAAACAAACACCCCAGAGAACAGAGGUUAGCUGCAAGGGCUGUCUACCUUCCUGCUCGAAUCUUUACAAUGGUGCCAUUCUUCACCUUUUCUUUCUCUCUUGAACAAUCACUGGCUUAAAUUGCACCUGUUCUAGCAAGACAAGUUUGCAGGUUUCAUAAGCCUUCAUGACAUAUCCACAUGCUCUGAAGUAGCUACCUUUAGAGGUAAUAGAGAAGACAGUGUUACUGCUACUGAGUGCUAAGAAGUUCUUCAAUGAGUGAACAAACAAAAAUGUAAUGAAAAUGCACAGGAACUUACUUUUUGCCCUUCUAGUGGGUUUGGAUUCCAUCCUUCAAUCACCAGAGUGGUAUCAAAUCUAAGCUGUUUCCCAGUUGCUCUGAAGUGUUAAGAGAUCCAACCAACACGUGGCAGACUUGAGGACUCUUUAAGGAAGUUUACGGGUGUCUGAGUCCUGGCCACAUCCUGUGACAUUCUUACUUCAGAGAAGUAAGGGAGGGAUUUUGAACACUCCCAGAAAAGUGCACAAGCCAGUGUCUUACAAGAGCACUAGAUGGCAGCAUAGGACAUCUAUUCAACUGCUUCUCUCUGCAGGCUGCUGGAAUUUUGACAGAUACAAAACGGUCAGAGGUCCUAUCUUCCACAUCUACCUACCACAUUCUAUUGGACAAAGCUGGAAGCACCUCUACUUAUCUUACUCCUAUUACUCACAAUUGGACCCAUUAUUAUAAUUAAAAUCGUGUCUUUUAUGUCAACAGAUUAAAGCCAUUAAAAUGCAGACUUUACAGGUCCAUUGUCACAGACUGGAGCUGACGGAUCAAGGUGUUGCCACUGAAGACCUACCACCUGCAGCUAUCAUUCUCCCUUGAUCUUGCAUUCUGUACUUAUUUACUAUACUGCUCUCCUCUACACCUCUGCUAUCGCUGCGGUCUACCUGUCAUGGCAAAAUAGCUACCCCUCCUUUAGGAGCUGCAUAGGAGUCAGACCUAUGAAUAUCAUCUCACAAUAAAGUGAGUGCGAUAUCGGCACCAACGUGGGUGCGAGGCAAAGCACCACAAGGGAAGGUCCCUUUCUGACCACUUCUGAAUUCCCUAAGAGA